AUAUAUAUAUAUAUACACUACUAACUGUCAAAGCAACUAACGACAGCAACAAAACCAACCUAUUCUGCGGAAAAUCAUUGAAAUGAACGACACUAAGGGAUUUCCUAUCCCGGAACACACUCGAUCCCGCCCAGUGAGUCGCAUAACAAACCGAACCAAUCAGGUGAUUCGAAGCAGUUGAGUGCUUCAAACGUCACUGAAGUGAUUCAAACGUCACGAGUCACGUGACCAAAACACGCCUCGGCACAGUGGCUCAAUACGUUUGCUUCAUGAGCUACAGCGCAUGUGUCGAAACCUCGGGUAUCAGAGGACCAUCACUAAUCACAGGAUUCCUACCGGACGCCAGCUCCUAGUACGGCUGAAGUCAAAUGGUCACCGUGGCGCUUCGGCUGAUUCUACCAGCAGACACUGGAAAGGGCUCUGAUAGUUCAGUCCCUCUCUAUCUCCCCACACAUCCACCAACCACUGGAACACAUCUCCAAAGUUCUGCCGGGCCAGUUCAGCUUCCCCUCAGAAGAAGUGCCGCCAGAUGAAGGAGCCUUUUGAGAGGCAGCUGGCAUCGUGAUUGGACUGUACUUUGGUCUGUUCCAAUCCAGCUUCAGCUCCAGAGACGGCAGGCGGGACGAGUCAACGGAGGCCUGGUGGACGAAGGCAUGCAGCUGAGUACAAUCCAGAAAACAACAGAGGAGGAGUGCAGGGCCAGAACAAACAGAGUAGCACAUUGUCUCUUAGAAAACAUCAUAUUAUAGCCUUUGGGAUGAAAAAACGCCAUCAUAUACAUUGUAUAUUGUACAAAUAACAAGUCAAAGGAAAGAGACAUACAUUGUAGAAUUGUAGUAAUUGUGGGCUGACUGAUUUACUGAUUAUCAAUAUUUUAUUUUUUACUGAUUUACGGUAAUAAAUCAAUUUAAAAAUGG